GAGUUUGAUCGUGGCUCAGGAUGAACGCUGGCGGCGUGCCUAAUACAUGCAAGUCGAACGAACAGAUAAGGAGCUUGCUCCUUUGACGUUAGCGGCGGACGGGUGAGUAACACGUGGGUAACCUACCUAUAAGACUGGAAUAACUCCGGGAAACCGGGGCUAAUGCCGGAUAACAUGUUGAACCGCAUGGUUCUACAGUGAAAGACGGUCUUGCUGUCACUUAUAGAUGGACCCGCGCCGUAUUAGCUAGUUGGUGGGGUAACGGCCUACCAAGGCGACGAUACGUAGCCGACCUGAGAGGGUGAUCGGCCACACUGGAACUGAGACACGGUCCAGACUCCUACGGGAGGCAGCAGUAGGGAAUCUUCCGCAAUGGGCGAAAGCCUGACGGAGCAACGCCGCGUGAGUGAUGAAGGUCUUCGGAUCGUAAAGCUCUGUUGUUAGGGAAGACAAAUGUGUAAGUAACUGUGCAUAUCUUGACGGUACCUAACCAGAAAGCCACGGCUAACUACGUGCCAGCAGCCGCCGU
rnacentral:rRNA from 1 species